rnacentral:rRNA from 1 species
CCAUCAGGUAGUAACAGAGGGUUCGAUUAUGGCUCAGAUUGAAGCUGGCGGGAUGCUUUACACAUGCAAGUCGAACGGCAGCACGGACUUCGGUCUGGUGGCGAGUGGCGAACGGGUGAGUAAUGUACUGGAACGUGCCUAGUAGCGGAUAACUACGCGAAAGCGUAGCUAAUACCGCAUAAUACCUUCGGGGAAAGGACCUUCGGGCCUCGCACCAUUAGAGCGGCCGAUAAUGGAUUAGCUAGUUGGUGGGUAACGGCUCACCAAGGCGACGAUCCGUAGCUGGGUCCGAGAGGACGACCAGCCACACUGGGAUUCGAGAUACGGCCCAGACUCUACGGGAGGCAGCAGUGGGGAAUUUUAACAAUGGGGAAACCCCGAUCCAGCCAUCCCGCGUGUGCGAUGAAGGCCUUCACAAAGCACUUCGGCAGGAAAAGGAACGGCACGGAUAAUACCCCGUGCAACUGACGGUACCUGCAGAAUAAGCACCGGCUAACUACGUGCCAGCAGCCGCGGUAAUACGUAGUGCAAGCGUUAAUCGGAAUUACUGGGCGUAAAGCGUGCGCAGGCGGUUCGAAAAGAAAGAUGUGAACUGCAGAGCUUAACUUUGAACCGCAUUUUUAACUGUCGAGCCAGAGUGUCAGAGGCAGUGGAAUUCCGCGCAGGGCAGUGAAAUGCGUAGAUAUGCGGAGGAACACCGAUGGCGAAGGCAGCCUCCUGGGAGAUAACACUGACGCUCAUGCACGAAAGCGUGGGGAGCAAACAGGAUUAGAUACCCUGGUAGUCCACGCCCUAAACGAUGUCAACUAGCUGUUGGGGCCUUGCAGCAGCUAACGCGCAGCUGGACCGCCUGGGGAGUACGGUCGCAAGAUUAAAACUCAAAGGAAUUGAUUUGGGACCCGCACAAGCGGUGGAUGAGCGGACACCAUGCAACGCGAAAACUCUACCUACCUUGAUGAUGCCCAAUCCUGAAGAGAUUUGGGGAGUGCUCGCAAGAGAACCGAAACACAGGUGCUGCAUGGCUGUCGUCAGCUCGUGUCGUGAGAUGUUGGGUUAAGUCCCGCAACGAGCGCAACCCUUGUCAUUAGUUGCUACGAAAGGGCACUCUAAUGAGACUGCCGGUGACAAACUUCGGAGGAAGGUGGGGAUGACGUCAAGUCCCUCAUGGCCCUUAUGGGUAGGGCUUCACACGUCAUACAAUGGUCGGGACAGAGUAGUCGCCAACCCGCGAGGGGGACAGCAAUCCCAGAAACCCGAUCGUAGGUCCGGAUCGCAGUCUGCAACUCGACUGCGUGAAGUCGGAAUCGCUAGUAAUCGCGGAUCAGCAUGUCGCGGUGAAUACGUUCCCGGGUCUUGUACACACCGCCCGUCACACCAUGGGAGUGGUUUUACCAGUGCAGUUAGCCUAACCGUAAGGAGGGCGAUUACCACGGUAGGAUUCAUGAUCGGGGUGAAGUCGUAACAAGGUAG